rnacentral:lncRNA from 1 species
ACUACUAUUUCCUGCUUGUAGCCCUCUAUUUUUCCAUCUACACUUUCUGUAGGGAUUUAAGCAUCAUAUAUGUAUGACAAAUAAAUCUGACGAUGACUGCUAUCUAUUGUGCAACUACAGGCCAUUUGGAAUAGGUUUCAGCACUAGUUUGAGGCAGUCACUAUGCUUUCAAUCACUGUUCUAUCUAACUAGUGAGUUUUGAGUGAGUAUUAUAGGUUCUAACCUCCUGUUUGCUAAACAAGAAGUUUAAUAAUUUUAAAGCAUGCUGGACAUUUUCGAUAGUAUAGUAUGUAGUAACAGUAGCAUUUAUUUUUCAGCAGGCACACAAAAAACAAGUGUGGUAAUUGAGAUUUCAGAAAACUCUAAGUUUGCUGGUUGACCUGUUAUUUCUCUUUUUGCCACCGUAAUUCAAAGCUAUGCUCCCUUGGCAAAUCAUGUAUUUCUCUAGGUGCACUGACUAUGGCAAUAUAUCUUCUGUGUAUGUGUUACUUGCAUUUAUUCCUGUUUUGAUGAAACAGCAGCCAGACUAUUGAGUAGAUGCAUAAGUUUUUCUUACAGGAAUUAAUAGUUUUUGUGUUCUAAUCUAUAAUUCAACAAUUAGUAGUGUUACAUUAUCUUGUCGUUGCAGUGCUAUCUAUUAAGUUCUUUGAAUCACCAUUUGAUUGAACGUUUCUUUUUCUGGUUUUUAGGAAGAGAAUUGGUGGAUAAAACAAUAUUGGAGAAGUGCUUGACCAAGGAACAUCAUUUCACCAAGGCGGUUGCAUUGCUUAUUUGCUUAUCGCAGCAUGGUGGAUAGACAAUGUUAGCUGUUGAAUUAGUGUAGUUUUUAAAUUGAUUCAUCAUCAAUUUGUAAAUCUUUUUAUAUAAACAUAUUUGACCAAAUGGUUGUAAAUCUAUAAUUCAGAAUGCUAUAAUGAAAUUUCACCAUAUUUGUCAUUCAAUGAAU